rnacentral:lncRNA from 1 species
AGGCCCCUCCAUCUGAACUUCCAGCUUAGUUUUCUGAGCAUGGAGGCUGAGGAACUCAAGUGAGUGGGUGUUCGCAGCCUGGCAGCACAUUGGAAUCACCUGGGGUGCUUUGAAAACUACAGCUGUUCGGGCCAGCACAGGCUAAUUAAAUUAGCAUUUUGAGGGAGGGGGUGCCCUGAUGACAGCAUGUUUCAAAGCCUCUUCAGGUGAUCAUAGUCGGCAUCAGGGUGAAGAGCCAUUGGCCUACGGCAGUGGUCCUCAGUCACCUGCAACCAGGUGCUGCUGCUCCUGGGCUCCCACUGAGGACCACUGGCUCAGCCCAAGUCUCCUUCAAAGCUAGUGCCAGUGAGCCCAGGUUUGGGAUCCCUCCCAGCCUUGGAUCCUGGCGUGGCAGAUCCAGCAUCUGGUUCUAGCUCUGCUACCAUCCAAUCCUGGACUGCUCACAUCCUUCUCUGGGCCUCGGACAACACUCUCUCUCAAGUGCCUUUUAAGCUCUCAGAAUCUUUGAAUUGCAAGAUGGCUGCUGUAGCUCCAGGCAAUUCACGCUUACACCAGCAUUCCAGGCAGGAAGAAGGGAAGUCCUACCCCCUAAUUGCAGUCUGCUGCUGUGGAGCCUUGCUCUCUGUGGGCAGGCAUCCCAACGACCACCUGCCUGGAUUCCCCGAGACGGCCCUCCGCCGGGCUGUCAAAGCCACUGAGAGCAUGGACCUGAGGCCUCUGAAGCUCGCUCGGAUCAACUGGCUGCUGCCUUUUUGCCUGUUGAUCCAGCUUUCUCUUGUCAUCUAUAGCUGGUGUUUGAAUUAUUUCCACCCUUCCUCGAAGGACCAGGGCUGGCUCAACCGACACCAUAUGAGUGGGAAAUGGGAGCAGGAAGUUUCUACCUCAGACAACAAGAAAUAUCAAAGGCCCAGAGGAGUGGGCUACGGGAUGGUGUCUGAAGGAAAGUGCCAAGGUCCUGAUGCAGGGGAGCAUGAGGUGACCCUACCUCCAGAGGGGUCAAAGGUGGUUAUCCGUUAGGACCCGGACUGGUUUAAAUAAAAAAGCUAAUUGGGAAGUCCAGGGAUAAGGCUGGCUUCAAGCACAGCUCAUUGUGUGGGUUCAAAUGGUUUCACUAUUGGUUCCCACCUUAGAGUUGGGUUUCCUCUGGGUUCACUUCUUUCUUCAACUGGCUCUGCCCUUGUGGUCACAGGAUGGCUACCAACAGCUCUGGGGACUACCUCCUUCCCACUUUCUUUCCAGAGGAGAAACGGAAAAUCCACUUCCCUGAUAGGACAGACAAAAGUCCCAGAACUGAGCUUUGUUAGCCCUGAUCAGCCUGAUUUGGGUCAUUGUCCUUCCCUGAAAGCAACCACCAGUGUCAAGGAAAUGGGACGCACAGGUUGGUUAAGGGUUGAGUCACAGGAUGCCACCUUAGAAUAGGAGUGGAAUCAAUCCCACCCAAACCACAUGGCUGAAAAUGGGGCAAGCGUGCUCUCAGAGGAUAGUCAGGGGGUCUGCUGGUGGGAGAAGGAGGGAGUGGAUGGGGGGAGGCAACCCACCAAUGUUCACUCUGAUGGGAGGUUGAACUUGAGGGUCACGGUUGAAGACUUAAGGUGAUGCCAGGAUCUUAAAAUCAAGAGAAAAGUAUGCAAGGGUCAAGGGAUGGAGGGAAGGGAUGUUCAACCUCCAGGAAUGUGAUGAGUGACCGGCUGGCUUAAAGGGCUGGGAACCUGGCUGUGGCCCUCUCCUCUCCUGUGUCCUCUCCAGCUUAGUCUGCAGCUCCGGUUCUAGCUCAGCUCGUUCCACCUCUCAGCACCUCCCAGGAUGCCCAUCGUGCUGCAGUUGACUCCUCCAGGCCUGGGAUGAGACUGACAUCUUCCUGUUCAAAGAAUCCAUGACUCAACCAACCCUCACGCUUCUUCCUUUGGCAAUAAAAAUGCUGUUCAGAACAUUCACUGCCAUUCAGGAUAACGCCUCCUUCAAAAGUCUUCUGGGCUUACUGCCCUUGUUAUUCUCCGUAACUCAAAUAUGAUUUGUCAGCCCAUGGGACAUAUUUCAGAUUGAGUUUAGUCCCAGGAAAAAGUUUGUGGCCACAGAUGCAUUUGAAUGCUUUCUAUCCUUGGAAGACAAAACAAAUACAAAGCUAGUGUUUUUUCUACAUGGGGCCAGAUGGAGGAUCCACGUUACCAGUUGCUGCUCCUCAGCUGCCCGCUCAUACCUGCUCUCUCUGCUGCUUUCAUGGUCUUCUUUUUUUGUCCCUAAUUAUCAGUCACUAUCGUGUUUAGUCUUCAGAGCCUCCUAAAUCCUUUUGGACUCAAUCAGAGAAAAUUCAAGGGAAGGAAAUAAAUAACGUGAUUUGUUUUCCCUUAUGUAUUGGUUUUCUCAGCAUGGAAGAGAAGAAUGCAUAAUUCAAACACUGUCUGAUUAA